GACAGAGGAGCCAAGCGUUGUCCGGAUUGACUGGCGUAAAGCGCACGCAGGUGGUCGCGCAAGUGCCGUGUGAAAGCCGGUGGCUUAACUGCCGGAGGCCAUGGCAGACUGCGUAACUCGAGUCCGAGAGAGGUCCGUGGAAUUGCCGGUGUAGUGGUGAAAUGCGUAGAGAUCGGCAGGAACACCCAGGGAGAAAUCAGCGGACUGGCUCGGUACUGACACUGAGGUGCGAAAGCGUGGGGAGCGAACUGG
rnacentral:rRNA from 1 species